rnacentral:lncRNA from 1 species
AACUUCCUGGUCAUAUGCACAUCUUCAUAGUACAUGUAUGUCCUUAUUAUCUAAAAAGGUUUCAUAAAAUUCUGUUGUGUGGUUUGAGAGGAGCUGAGAUGACAAACUGUUGCAGUAGUAUUUUGAAGCAAAUAAGUUCAAAGUAACUCCUAGAAAAAAAAAUUGAAUCGUUAUUUCCUGUUGAUAUGCACAUCUACAUAGUAUGUCCUUAUUAUCUAAUAGGUUUCAUGAAAUUCUGUUGUGUGGUUUGAGAGUAGUUGCGUUGACAAGAAACAGGACUGACGGACAGACGGAUGGACAGAUGGACGGGUCAAAAACAUUAUACCCUCCCCAACUUCGUUGUGUGGGGUAUAAUAAUGUUUAUUGUAUGAAAGUUGAAUCAAAAAGAAGUUAGAUGAUAAAAACAGCACUACAUGUAUAUAAAAUAUUCUGUAUAAAUCAGUGAUUCCCUCACGGUCUCUUUU